UUCACCUUGACUUUUGUAGGAUAUAAAGUACAGUAGAAUUAAAAAAAAAUGAAAAAUAGAAAUUAGUUUCUUUAGAAGUCAAUAUUAAGAAGAUUCUGAUUCAUUAAAUUGUUUGUUAAAUAUUAUAAAGUGAUGGCAGGAUAUAUAGAUAUUAAAAUACUACCUUUUGGAAAGCCGAACAUACUUGAUAUAUUUUAUAUUAUAAAACUGAAAGUAUUACUAGUAAGACAAGAUCUAGAGGAUGAUUUUAUUAUGAAAUAUGAAUUAAAAAAUAUUUCAGAUAUAUAAACUUGAAAUAUAUAAAUUUAAAGAACACACAGAGACUAAACUUUAAGUUCAGAACAAGCCAAGCAGUCAUUGGAAUUGUGAAGUUGAUCCAUUCAAACCUCUAAAAUAGAUGAGAAUUUAGUCACAUAUUUCUUUGUUUUUUUUUUUUUUUUUCACUUAGCAUGAUAGUGGUAGUUUUAUUUAAAAGUAAGCAUUUCUCUUUUUUUACAGGUGGGGCAAUGAAUCUCAUCACCUUUCUUCAGUGAUAGAUUUGUAUUUGAAAUCUAACUUUAUUAAUCAUUAGCUGUAUUCUCUUGGCAAGUUGAUCUUCUUAGGCUCAAUGACCUCACCAAUAAAAGGGGGCUGAUGGUAGUACAACCUUCAAGAGGUUAUGACUUGUGAUGGAAACAAUAACAAAGUCCUAAGAUGAACCUGCCACAAUACAGUAAGUAACAAGUGUUUUUAUAAUAAUAAUCUUCCUAAGUGCAGCAAAUGUUUAUUGUAUCCCUAGUCUGUGUGGCAUACUCAGAAGGUAUGGUGAGGGAUUUGAAAAUGCUCAAGGCAACAGCUGUACCAUAAAGGAGCUUAACACUUAGUGGAAAAGAUAAAACAUACUUUAAAAAAAAUGUAAUGCAGGCUUCAAUGUGUUAAGUGAUGCCAGGGAGUUACAGACAGUGUAUUAGUAGAAUCCAAAGAGAGACCACUUAUUAUUGGUGGCAAGAGAGUCAUUCUCAGCAGUGGUAAUAUUUGAACUCGGUUUUACUGGCCCUGGGUUUAGAGAUGCUGAGCUGGUGAUUGGACCUCCCCAAAAGAGCAAGUAGAGGCAGAGGAUAUGAAGAGAUAAAUGCAUGGCAAGUGUUUCACUUAUCUAGUAGAUGUUCAUUAAGUACCUAUGUUUUGCUGGACAUUAUUCUAAGAACUUGGGAUACAUCAGUAAACAAAAGAUCCUUGCCCUCACGUAGAGGAAGACAGAUAAUAAGCAUGCCAAAGCAGUGAACUCAAUUGUGUGUUAGAGGUGAUAAGUUCUCUGGGUAAAAAUAUAACAGGUUAAGUAGGUUUGAGAGGCUGUGGAAGUUAGGGUAUGUGUCAGGGCUGCCAUAACAAAAUGCCACAGACUAGAUGACUUAAACAACAGAAAAAAAUGUUUUCUCAUAGUUCUGGAAGUGAAAGUCCCCUUUGAUUUCUUCUUAGGAGGCUUCUCUCUUUGACUUAUAGGCGGCCACCUUCUUGCUAUGUCCUCACAGUCUUCACUGUUUGCAUGCAUGCCUCUGCUGUCUAUUUAGGUGUCUAAAUUUCUUCUUAUAAAAACAGAUUGGAUUAGGGCCUGCUCUAAAGGCCUCAUUUUAAGUGAAUCACAUCUUUAAAGACCUUAUCUUAAAAUAUCAUACAUUCUGAGAUAACAAAGGUUAGGACUUCUAUGUAUGAACUUGUGGAGUACACAAUUCAGCCUAAAACUGUAUGGUUACAGUUGAAAUAAAGUCGUUACUAUAGACUCUGAGAGGGUGGCAUUGGAUCAAAAUUGUGAAGUAAGCAAGAGAGUCAUGGAAAUAUAAGGAGGGGGGAGCAGGAAGAGAAAUAAGUUGGUGUAAAGGGCCUGAGGCAGCUUGUAUUAAAUGUGUUUGAGAGGCACAAAGCAGGAGAGUUAUCUAGAACAGAGGAAAACCAGAUUAAUUGGAGAUAAAGGCAGAAAGUCAAAGGAACUCAUUAAUAUGUGGCCUUAUAAGCUAUGCUGAGGACCCAAGCAUAUGUUCUGAGUGAAACAGGGAGCCACUGUGGGAUUGUGAGCAGAGGAGUUACAAUUAACAGGGGUUGGCAAACUGUAGCCCACAGUUCAAAUCUUACCUGUUGUCUGUUCUUGCAUGGUCUGUUAACUAAGAAUUGCCUCUACAUUGUGAAAUGAUUGGAGAAACAUAAAAAGAAAAAUAUUUCAUGACAGUUAAAUUAUAUGAAAUUGAAAUGUAAUGUCCUAAAAUAAAGUUUUGCUGGAACCUGGCCCAUGCCCAUUCAUUUACAUAGCGACUAUGGCUCUUUUUCUGUGUUUCAGUGGCAGAGCUGACUGGUUGCAACAGGAGCUUGGGUAUACCCAGUCAAUAAUAUUCAGCAUCUGAACCUUUACAGAGUAAAUUCUCUAUCUGUAUGAUAUAAGGUCAAGGAUAGAAUCUGGACAGAAAAUAGGAGGCUUUGAUGAGGGUACUGGCAGAGGAGCUGUGCUGGGGUUUGGGCAGUAUGGCUAGUGAACCAGAUUGACAGAAAUGAUGGGAACUAUGUGGCGGGAGGGGCUGUGGGGUUGGAACGCAGCCUGGCAGGCCUUUGAGCACAGGUGUGACACUUCUGCAGUCUUGUUCCUAAAGCUCUGUGCCACUGUCCUUAAAGAAGUGCUUUGGAAGCCCAGCUGGCAUUGGAUGGCUGCAGGGAACUGAUUGCAAUGCUGGAGUCAAGAGGUAUGGAUGGCCUGGAAGUGAAGAGAAAAGGGCAAUGGAAAGCAAGAUUCAAGUGCAUCCUGACACUGUGAGCAGCUUUUCCAUUUUCUGUGCCAGGGAGGAGCCUUCUGUGAUGAUAUAGCAGUUUUCAAACAACUUUUAAAAAUAUCUUGAAGUGCUAGAAUACUAGUAUUCUAAUUAUAUACCCUUGGAAUUAAAAUAGAGUUCUUUAAGUGAGUCAGGACAGAUGCCUUCUACAAUUUAGACCAUUGGGUGUAUAAUAUUAAAAAUGAACUCAAAAGAAGACCAUCAUGGCCUUCUUUUGAUGGCCACAGAUACUCUCAAUCUGGAUUUCCACCUUAUUUAAUUAUAAUUUAUUUGUUAAAAACUACCAUGUUUAACUUGGCAUUUCUAUUUUGUUCUCUUGAGUUACAUUCAUAAUCUAUGUCCUCGAUCUUAAAGUGCCUCCAUAGAAAUCCACUGUCUUUGCUAAAACAUUUGCACCAUUUUUUUUCUUGGAAUAUAUUCUUUGGAAGAUUGAUGGUUGAAACAACAUUUAAUUCACUUUUAUGUCUUCUUUAAAUCAUCUCAGUCAUAGAUUUUACAGAAGAUUUGCUUCUUUCUUUAUAAAGAAACACUUUAUUUUAAAAAGUGUGAUUGCAGUAUUCAUUAUGUGAUCUUAUCUGACAUAGAGAAAUAAUAUGUCAUAGGUUGAAUUCAGUGUUAUAAAGUUGCUCCAUCCCAUAUUUUCCAACUUUAUCGAUCCCAUCUUUUUAAAUUCAGACUAUGAAAAGUGAGGUCAAAAUACAAAACACUCCAAAUAUAGGAAGAAUAAAAUGGACUUAACUCCUAGAAAUCUGGCCUAAAAAGUUACAUUGCAUAAAGUAGACCUCAAACAUAGAGUUGCCUUAUUCACAGAUGAAAGAAUACAAAGUUUCUUGAAUGAAUAUAUUUCUGGUGACAGAAUCUUUCAGACAUAACUCUUCCGAAUUUAGACUGGUUAAAAGAAUUGUGAAAUAUUUUUGCUGCAAUGAGAAGGGGAAAGUAGGAUCUCCUGUUCAUUUAAAAAUAAUCGUUCUUUACCAAGAACAGAGAGUGGUUAAGUGUCCUCCCUAGGGUUCCCAAGGGAAGAGUCAUUUCAGGACAAGGUCUGAGGUCAACUUGUCCAGAUUCUGAUUUAAGUUUGAAAAAUGUUCCUCUUAAGUUUAUAUGGAGGUAAUCAAGUUUGAAAGGUGAUACAAUUCAUUUCAUGUUGUAAUUGUUCUAAAGAUGGCAAUUCCUAUCCUGUUUCAAACAUUCCCCUACUUUGGGAAUCAAAAUGCAAAAGCAAAUAUUGAAAAUGAAAACAGAUAGUGAAGAUAGUGACAGUCUAGAAAAGGGUCUGCACUAGCUAGAAUCUAGUGAUGCUCCAUGGUAUGCCCAUCAUCCUGCAGAGGUCCUGGAGGCCCCAGGAGGUCAAUGUCAUUGAGGGCCAUAAUGCUGAGUAUGGUGAUCUCACUGUCUCUUUGUUGUCAGACCAGAUUUAUCUAAUGGUGCAGUGUCAAUGUUCAGGCUAGCUACCUGUUCUCUUCUUCAAAGUCUAGGCCACAGGUCCUUCAAAUGUGUGACACAGCUGUUGGUGGAAGUAAGCUGAGUCUUCAUGACACACAGUCUUGGCAUUAAAAUAUAGUUGGAUCACAUAAUCAGGAAGAAAUGCCUUUUAUGUUUUCUUUCAGUCUUUUGAUAGCAUCAGUACACAGCCUCAGGUUACUGCAAAUAUAUCUUUAUCACUCCUGAAAGACCUGUGACUCUCCAUUUUUAGCAAGAGAACAAAUAUAAGGCUCUGUCUGAAGCAUGGCAGUGGGGUGAAUCUGAAUUGUGAGAAGGAUCUUGUUUACAAAAUCUUUUGUAUGAGAUCCUUGUAUUUAUGGAAAAAAAUCAAAAAAUACGUUUAUGAGAGUUAAAUAUUUUAUUUAAAACCAAAUUUAUUUAACUGAAACUGACGUUUUAAAAAUAUGAAUUCCGAGGUUGCUCACAUAUGGCAAAUCUCAUGAAGGGGGACAAGAUGGGACAAAGCUAUUGUACGAUUAUGAAUGGGACCUAUAAUGGCAGAGUAGAUGAAAAGGAACCAGCUGGGCUGAAAACCCCAGGGAGAGAAAUUCUGUUUCUUGAUUUGUUAGAUAGGACUCUCAAGCCAAGCUUCUCCCUCCCCACAGUGAGGGACGUUAUAGAGGGGAACAGCUAAGAAUACUAAGCUCAUACUUCAAAGACAGCUUGCCAAAGGAAAACACUGCUGCUUUUAAGAUAUUCUUAAGAUAUAGUGUUCAAAAUAAUUAAGGAGUAUUAGCCACUCAUCAUAACUGUAUUGGUUCAACUGAACCUAUAAUUGGCACACACUGUUACCUCUUUAACAUUACUUCCACCCAAAAGUACCCAGAUCAUUUAAACCCUCCAGAAAGCUCAUUUGAGUUAGAUGUAGAGAAAGAUACUUCUGUGAUCCCAUGAAUGAGGUAGAAGUGUACUGUGCAGGUGCCUGCAUACACACACACACACACACACACACACACACACACCCCACAGUCUGUCAGAUCUGUGAUCCUCCUGUCUGUCAGAACCAAGUUUCUGGUUAUCACCCUAAGAGAUUUAGACUGGAGACCAACUCAACAAGUACAGCGAAGAGCUAAAAAGAUUACUUCAAUGCUUUUGGCAAGUCAUUAACAUUUUCCAUUCUAAAUAUGAUUUGUUGUUAGAGUUCUUAAUGCUAAAGUGUUUAAAAGAUCGAGUCUAUUGAUAGUGCAGUAUUUUCUCUUCAUUUUCUGUCUUUAAACACUCCCUCUGCAGCAUGAAAAUAUGUGCUGAUUUCUUUAAGUCUUAAAAUGAGUUGGGAUAAUUAAAAACACAUAAAGAAACAGGUAUGAUAGUUUUCUAGUUACCUGUCUGGUAAACAUUAGUUAUUCAGGCACAUGGACUACACUUCAGCAGAAAUGAUGGACCACGUAUUGAUUAUUUUUUUAAUACUGAUGCUGAAAUUGGGUGUUAUAAAAACUGCUUAAAAUUGGCUAUUAUCUUGGAAUAACACUGGAACAUACUUCAUUACCCAUUGCCAUGGACUGAUUCCUCUAUGUACAGUGUGUUAGUAUAGUUGGCUCAAAGUUAGAAUGAUAUCUUUACAGACAGUAAAUUAAACAAUUCUUCUCUCCCACUUGUUUCCAUACUUGUUUUUAAAAAGAUAUAGGGUAAAUUUUUAGGACGUUUGAUUUGGAAUAAGGCCCAAUCAUGCUAUGUUAAAUGGAGGGUUUAAUUUUUUUCCCUCCUUUUUUUUAUUGGUUGUUCAAAACAUUACAAAGCUCUUGACAUAUCAUAUUUCAUACAUUAGAUUCAAGUUGGUUAUGAACUCCCAAUUUUACCCCAAAUACAGAUUGCAGAAUCACAUCGGUUACACAUCCACAUUUUUACAUAAUGCCCUAUUAGUAACUGUUGUAUUCUGCUACCUUUCCUAUCCUCUACUAUCCCCCCUCCCAUCCCCUCCCAUCUUCUCUCUCUACCCCAUCUAUUGUAAUUCAUUUCUCUCCUUGUUUAUUUUCCCAUUCCCCUCACAACCUCUUAUAUGUAAUUUUGUAUAACAAUGAGGGUCUCCCUCCAUUACCAUGCAAUUUCCCUUUUCUCUCUCUUUCCCUCCCACCUCAUGUAUCUGUUUAAUGUUAAUCUUUUCUUCCUGCUCUUCCUCCCUGCUCUGUUCUUAGUUGCUCUCAUUAUAUCAAAGAAGACAUUUGGUAUUUGUUUUUUAGGGAUUGGCUAGCUUCACUAAGCAUAAUCUGCUCUAGUGCCAUCCAUUUCCCUGCAAAUUCCAUGAUUUUGUCAUUUUUUAGUGCUGCGUAAUACUCCAUGGUGUAUAAAUGCCACAUUUUUUUUAUCCAUUCAUCUAUUGAAGGGCAUAUGGGUUGGUUCCACAGUCUAGCAAUUGUAAAUUGUGCUGCUAUGAACAUCGAUGUAGCAGUAUCCCUGUAGUACGCUCUUUUAAGGUCUUCAGGGAAUAGUCCGAGAAGGGCAAUAGCUGGGUCAAAUGGUGGUUCCAUUCCCAGCUUUCCCAGGAAUCUCCAUACUGCUUUCCAAAUUUUUAAUAUUUUAUAUUUUAAAAUAGAAUUUCUUAUUGUUAUAAUCUCUUUAUAUUAACUUUCUACCAUCAUAAGCACUAUUUUUUGGCAGGGAGAGUACCAGGGAUUGAACUCAGGGUUACUUGACCACUGAGCCACAUCCUCAGCCCUAUUUUAUACGUUAUUUAGAGACAAGGUCUCACUGAGUUGAUUAGUGCCUCACAACUUGCUGAAGUUGGCUUUGAAGUCGCGAUCCUCCCAUCUCAGCCUCCUGAGCUGCUGGGAUUAUAGGUGUGUACUACCACGCCUGGAAAAAGUACUAUUUUAUUUAUAUUUUUGUUAUUAAAAAUGAAGUUUAAUUUUUACAAAUUAAAAUUCAACUACUUAGUGUUAAAAUAAAAGUGACUUUAUCUUAACUAAGAGAAUCAAAAGGAUGUGAAGAAAAAAUAUGAAAUAACAUACACUUUUGAGCCAUUUUGAGUACAUGUUCUUAAUAAUCUGGACUAUAGGCACUAGAGGCAGGUAGUUCAAACUCUCUGACUUCUUGCUUCAAAUAAUUGUUUUACUUGUGAAAAACAUAACUUGAGAGAUGCUAUGUAAAUGUUUCUGACACCCUACACCUGGUAUUCACGCCCUUAUUUGGUCCCCUUAUUCUACCAGGUUGACCUGUAUGACCAGUAGACUAUGGCAGAUGUGUUGCUAUGUCACUUUCAAGAUUAUAUUAUAGAAGGAGCUGCAGCUUUCAUACUGGUGUGUGUGUGUGUGUGUGUGUGUGUGUUGUGUCUGUCUGUCUCUCUUGGAUCACUUACUCUGAGAAAACCAGUUCUCUUGUCUCUAGAGACAUCUAUGGAAAAACCCACAUGGACAGGAAUUGAGGCCUCCCACGAAAACUCAUGUGAAUGUGCCAUUAUCGGAAGCAGAUCAUCCAGCCCUGCCAAGCCUUCCAAUGACUGCAUUUCUGGAUCCUAUCUUGACUGCAACCCGAGAGAUCCUGUGUGAGAACCACCCAGCCGAGGCACUCCCAGAGUCCUGAUUAAGAGGAGCUAGAUGCCAGUUGGAAGGAAGAUUGAGGAAUAAGAGAACUGAUGGAGGAUGGUGGGCUAGAAGGAGGCUGGGGGUUGGAGCCAGAAGAGUUUCCACUGGAAUCCUCUGUCAUGGACAUCUUGAAUAAGUCGGAGGAGAGGAGGCAGAAUCCCAAAUCCCAUGAGCCAACUCUGAAUGUGUAAGUCGACAGACCUAUCUUGCUCAUUCCUUCUGCUGAUUUUUUUUUCCCAAUGCCAAAAGUAGGACACGUCACUCCACUAUUCCACUAUUCAAAUUCCCUUGAGGCUACACUUAGUCUUCUCCAGCUGUCCUCUGUGACUCCCCACAGUACCUUAUCUUCAGGGAUAAUUUGAAAAACUGUGUGGGUAGAUCAAUAGAAAGUAAAAUAAAAGUUAUGUAUUCUGCUUAAUGUGAAGUAUUCCUAAAUGUAGAAAUUAUUUCAGAUGAGAAGAAGUUAUAAAACAAAUUACAGAUCAAAGUACACAGAAAAUUAUAAUGUAGUAAACCAAAGUUUAGUGAAUGUGCUUAUGUGCAAGGCACUGGGAUAAGCCAUCUACGAUAAAUGAAGGAAAGUGACAUAGUCCAUCCUUACCUAUCAUAGCUUGUAGUCUUUAGUAAGGAAAAUAAGAUAUAUAAAUAUAUGUCAUAUAUAUGUAUAUAUGCAUUGUAUUUGGAAAGAUAUGGUAAUAAUAUGAGAGAAUGAGGAUAUUUACUAAUGGAAAAAUCCUAAAUCUUUUAGUAAAAGAAACAUUUGAGCUGACCCUCACAUGGUGGGUAUUGAGAGAUGCAAUACUGAAGUGCAUUCUAAAUUGGGGGACAAACAUUUUUGGAGGCAGAAAAGGACCGACAGAAAACAAGUUGCAAUUAGCCAGUAAGUAGAGUACAGGGUACAUAUGGAACAAAGAGAAACAAGGAAAACUCUUGUUGGUUUUCAAUAGAGUCCUCUUCUCUCUUGGAUAGCUUGAUAAGUCCACCCUUCUAUCAGCCAAUCAUUUGUCAUCACUACUCUGCAGAUAAGAAGUAAGAGGCCAAGGACAGUAAUUGGCUUGGCUGAAAACAAGACCUGGAAAGUAAGAGUUAGGACUUGAAACUUUAUUUUCUUCUAUUAUAGUAACCAUACAUUUUCUACCGUGGAGUCUCAACAUUAACAAUGCUCACAGUGAAUGAUUUUGGUUUACGGAGAACUCACACUAUGCCACACAGUUUUCAUUUUCUUUAUCUUUUCCUUCAAUCUUCAAAAUUACCUAAAACGUAAAAAUUAUUAUCCAAAUAUUCAGGUGAGGAAGUGGUGGUGACUCAGAAAAAUUAUUUGAUACAUAAAAAUUAUGAAAAUGAAGGCUGAGAAAAGAAAUGGAGGGAUAAAUGGAAUGGUUUUGAAACAGGCUAAGAUAUCCGUAUUUUAUUGAAAAACUAAUAGGUGACCAAAGAGUAUAUUAGCUUAAAAUAUGAAUGAUCAUAAUGGUACUGUUAGUUCAAUCGUAAAAUUUUAAAAAAUAACAUUUUAAAAAUAAUGGUUGGGUUGGGGUGUAAUAGCUCAGAGUAUCUGCCUAGAAUGCAUGAGGCACUGAGUUCUAUCCCCAGCAACACACAAAAAAAGUGAGGGUUAAAAAUGUUUUUUAAAUAAAAUUUCAACCAGGAUUUGUGCUUCCCCCCUCCUUUCUCUCUUUCUGUGUAUGUGUCUUGAAAAUUAUUUUUAACUUUAAUAGUUAUAAAUUAAAAUUUAUAAAGUAUUCUUGAAUCCUCUCCUGUAGCACAUGGCAAUGAGAUGCUCUGGCCAACUUUAUUUUUAUGUUCUACAAUUCCAUGCAAACACAGAUUACCAGUUUCUACAGAAAGCAUGGCACCAUAAGAUGAACAAAAACAUAUUUUGAUUUUCUACUGGUGCUUUGGUCCUCCAUAGCCAGUUUCUGAGUGCCAAUUCCAUGAAAAUUACUGUGCUAGACAUAAAUCAGUGUAAGAUUCCUGUCCCUCCAAAAAUGCAGGCUCUUAACAUUCUCUGAAAGUUGACUUGCAAUGAAUGUCUUUAUGUCAGUUAUGUAGUAAGCUCUCAAUAAACACUGUUGGUUGUAUAAAUCAAUCACUGAUUUUAGUGAUAUGCAGAAGUAGUUAUUGACAAACAUUUAUGAAUAUCAUUUGCUGAAUGGCCAUGUUCAUUGGCAUUGGCAGCUCAUGAGAAUAAGGUACCACAGGACAUAAAUAUACCCUCAUAUUUUUUAUUCAUGAGGACUACUUUUUAGAUAACUCCACUUCAUACUAUUUCUUUAGUUACCAAACUAAUUGAAUGCAUUUGUAAAAGACUCAAAUGAUGAGAAUACCUAAAAUGUACUCUUUGUAAAUUUUUAAUAUACAAUAUAUUUUUAUUUAUAGUCCUUAUUAGAUGUCUAGACUGAUUUAUCCUACAUAAUUGCAAAUUUUCUCUUAUCAAAAAAAGGGGAGAGGCCUGUAAGAUGAAGUUUACAUUAGUUUGACUAUGAUAAUUGUUUCACUAUGCAUAUGUAUUUAAAAAUGUCAUGUAGCACACAUAAAUUUUUACAAUUUUAAAAACACAAUGGUAGAUAUAUAUAUACUUUUAAACUACAACAAAUAAUAUUAUAAUAAGGUUCUAGCAUACCAUACCAGUGAAAUGUUCAAGCUGCAAGAAAUAUUAAAUUUGAUCCAGCAUUGUCAGUGGUAUUUCUAAAUUAUUUUAAGAAAUAAAUUGCAAUUUAUCAGUAGUGUAGGUUAGAAGCUGUAUUUCAUCCAUUUCCCUUUCUUGUUUAUAUCCUCAUUAAAAUACAGCAUCUCAAAUAUAUAGCAUAUUUUAGCAUAUUUUUAUACUAUUCUAGUUACUCUUUUUUUACUGAAAAUGAGAAGUUUGAGUAUAGAUGGGAUUUAUUUCAUUUAUAUAAAACUACUCUAGUGAUUGCAAAUCAGACUUAAAUUUUCUCAAGUAGAUUUUCUCAAGUGAACUUCAUGAAGCUGAUCUUUUAAUCGGUGAACUAUUUUUCAAAUUGCUAAUUAGAUUUUAUGUAUUGUUUGAAAGACAUUUCUAUUUGCCAAUUCAGUUUUGUCCACAAGACAUUUUUGGGAACUGAAUUUUGAAGUUUGACCACACAAGUCUUGUCAGAGGAUACUUACAGAAAUAUGAAAAUCUUAAAACUGAAGAAUAGAUGUGCAUUAAAAUGGUAUUUCUCAAGGGAGACAGUUCUCAGAGUAAUACAAAGAGGAAAUUCAGGGCUUUCACCCUCACUCUAGGGCUCAGGACACCCUGCUAUAGGCACUAUUACUCCCCCUACCCAACCAAAGUAUGCUGUGUUAAAGGAAAUCACUAUUUUGUGGAUUGGAGCUUUUUUAUGUUUUCCCACGAAUAAUACAGCACAGAUUGUGUUGAGUUCUUCAAGUUCAGUAGUCGACAUACCUCUUGUAGAAGUAAAACGACAAUGAGGCCUAUAAACAUGUGCUUCUAGAAAAGCAUAUAUGGUGUUGCAGAAUGUUCCUGGCUUUUAGUAUGUUUGUUAUAAAUAUUCAAUAAAAUUUUGUCCAAAUUAUUUGCUGGAACACUAAUAACACUUUUCUGUUGAUUCAUUUAUCAUUGAAUUAUGGGAAAAAUCAAGCCAAGAAGAAUUUCUAAAGGACCUCAGUAGAUUUUAUAGAGGUGUACAUGAAACCUCUUACACUGUCUCAGAGAAAGAACUUUUAUCUGAGUUUAAUUAUUCCUACAGAUAAGUAUCACAGGUAUACUUUUCUGCUCUUGAUACAUUAUACAAGAAAUAUUCAUAAUAUUAUUUUAUAAAUUAUGACAAUCCUCAUGAUCGCAAUUAUCAAACAAUGAGAAACUUAGUAUCUAUUAUGAGUUGAGCACUCUUUUGGGUACAUCUCUCACCCUAAUAUCAACUCUACAGCCCAAGAGUUUCAUUAUGAUUUUAGAGAUGAGAAAGCAGGACUAUAAGUGAUUCAUGUUAUAAUUACAUAUUCGUAUUAUUAUUUCUUAUAAUACUAGCUAAAAAUUACUGACCUGGGGGCAGGGAGGGCUUCCUGAAGGAAGGAAAAUUGCAGAAAUGACCAGAGUGGGUAAUGAGUGAUUUGAAAGUAGUGCAGGGGCCAGGAAGGGAAACAGAGGUGGGGGAGCAUGCUUGUAUGGAGAACAGCUUAUACAAAGGCACAUUGGGAAGAGACUGUGGUUCUUUCUUAACCUGGGCCCAGCAGACAGAACUAAGAGCAGAGAUCCCAUUUCAGGAUGUAGAGUUUGGGAAAUAUCUUACCCUCCUGGAGCAUAAAUAUCCUAGUCAAAUUCCCCAAUAAGAGGGGAAUAAGUGAGACUAUAGUGGCAUUGUGUUUAGUGGAGAACAUAUUUCAUGUUUCAUACCAUGUAUUGCUUCACUGAAAGCUGUAUUACCAUCAUUUUUAAUCAUUUUGGUAUUUUUUCCUUAGAGUGCAAAGAUAUUUGUUUUUAUCACCCCUGUCUCCUGGUCUCUCCCUGGUGGGGAAAUGUGUUGGCGCUUCUGUCUCUGUUCUCUGGCUCCUCAUUUCUGGCUUUUGAGGGGGCAUGAUGAUCAGAUGGCCAUGAUUAGUUCUUUGGCUUGCAUUUCAGAUUAUCUAUUAAGUAGCCAUCUCCUCAGCCACUGAGACAUAUGGUCAGCACUUUCCAGGGCUUAAAAUAAAUCUGCAUUUUAACAUGUGGAAUUUUAUUAUGCCAAAGAGGGCUCAAAUGGGGUUUUAAUCUUGUUAUUGGUUGUGCUGCACAUGUUUACAUGUGGCCUUCUGGAAUAGUUCAGUCAUACAUUCAGCCCCUGGAACUUCUAGUUUACUGGCAUUACGUAGAUGUUCUGGGUGAAGAUGUCCUAGAAAGUAGUAUCCACCCUAAACUCUGCAUGGUGCAGGAAAGGAGAACAAGGGGAGGAGAAACUUGCCAUUGCUUUUUCUAUAGGUCAGGUAUUCAGGUUUUUAAUCAUACUUUUAUUUAAUGACAAACAGGAGGUUUAUUGACAGAAAAUUAGUUGAAGAGUAUUUUCUAGUAUCAGUAUAAACUUACUGAAGUCUCUUAAGUCAGGACUUUUUAAAAUCAUUUCAGGUGUGUGAUGGUUUCAAUAUGAAAUGUCCCCCAAAAGGUCAUGUGUGAGAUAACACAAGAAAAUUUAGAGGUGAAGUGAUUGGGUUAACCGCAUCAGCACAUUAUUCUUCUAGUAGGGAUUCACUGAGUAGUAACUGUAGGCGAGUAGGUGUGGCUCAGGAGGUCAUUGGGGGUGUGUCUUUGGGGCAUAAAUUUUGUGAGCUGAGCUUUGUCUCUCUUCCCUGCUUCCUUGUGGCCAUGUCCUGAGCCACUUUUCCUCACCAUGCUCUUCUGCCAUAAUGUCUUGCCUUACUUGGUCUCAGAGCGAAAAAGCUGGUUGUCUAAGGACUGAGACCUCUGAAACCAUGAAUGCCAAAGAAAUUUUUCCUCCUCUAAAGUUGUUCUUGUCAGGUCUUUUGGUCCCAGGGGUGACAAAGCUGACUAAAACAAGGUGUGGCGUGUCAUCAAAAUUAAUAACUAGCACAGAAAAAAAAUAACAUCACCAAGCUCAGAUAUGCAGUCUCUGGAGACGAAAGAUUUGGAUUUGGAUUCUGAUUUCAGAUCCCCUGCCUAUUUAUUUAUUUUUUGCUUUUUUCACCAUGAACAAGUUAGUAAUCCUUUACAAGGCUCAUAAUACUACUGCCUUCAUUUUUGAGUGUUGCCAGGAUUAAAUGAGAUAAAGCAAGCAAAGUGUUCAGCGCAGCACUGACACCUGGUAAAUAUUCAAUAAGUGGUAGCUGUUGUGGUUGAUCCUGCUGAUUCUUUUAAAAAUUCAUAAGGAUUUAUAAUAUAUAAACUAGGUACAUUCACAUAGAUCAGGACAUUUCUAUGUAGAAAUGAAUGGAUAGAUAUGUAUGUAGUUAUGCUUUUAUAUACUUACUGUGAUGUACAGUCACGAUCAAGAUUAAGAGCAUAUUUAUGUGUGUAGCAUUGCAGAAACAUUAGCUAACGCAUCAUGAUCGUUCUGAGUUCCGCCCUGUGUGUUUCAUAUUAAUUAACUCAUAAUAAUUCUGUGACGUAGAUCUACUACACACAUUAGCAAGUGAGGAAACAGAGGCCCAAAGAUGAGAUCAUGCUGCUUAUAAACUAACAGACGUGGUAUUUGAAUACAGACAAUCUGUCUCAGGUCUAUGUUCUUAACAAAAAUGCUGUCUGAAUUCCAAUGAUAAACUCUUAAGUUAUAGGGAUAAACACAAACUGCAGUUGGUGAAUGUGUGUGUGUGUGUGUGUAUGUAUGUGUGUGUGUGUGUGUGUGUGUAAGUUUGCAUGUAAGUAUUCAUUGCCUGAAAAUGCCACUGUAUGAUGAAUUUUGUAGAGUUAUCUCUUCCUUUAUGAUGCUCUUGACGUCCAUAGCCACAUUUACGUUUUUUUUCUGUUUGUGGUUUGCUUUUCCUAGCAGGUUAAUUGAAUUAUAUGGCACAUCAUAUGCAAAAUGAGUCACUAAAUUGAAACCUCUCUCUGUUGCCCAGCAAUGGAUGAUUGCUUCACAUUGCCUGAAGUUAUGCUUAACCACAUCCUUAGGCAUUAUUCUCCCUGUUUUUUUUCCUCUCACCCCACUCAAGUUACUUGUACAGUGGCUCUGUAUCCAAUUACAUAUCAUCGAGUGGCAGGAGGAUGGCAUUAAUAUGGAUUAACUGUGUUCCGCAAGCCCGUUGGUGAUCUUUGGCUUUUGAUGCUGUAUAAAUGGAUGUGUCAGUUAAAAUGUGUGCCUGGCUGCAUUUAAUAGCAAUCUCACAAUUGUAGCUUAAACUAAGAGGAAUUUAUUUUCCUCAGGUAUCUGUAGGUGGUGCAAGAGCCGCUUUUCCAGUGCUAGCUCAACAGAUUCCUGAGUCCUCCAUGUGCCACGCCCCUGUGUCACCCCACUCUGACAUCUUUAGCUGGUGUCUUUCCUCUUCUAGUUUAUGUCUCAGAGUCACAAAAUGGCUGUUUCAUCUCCUACCUCACAUCCCAAUUCCAGAUAUGAAAGUUCCAGGUGUUUCUCUCUGUAUCUUUGGAUCUGAACUAUCCCAAAAGUGGCAUUGAAACAGUGAACCUGGCACAUUGUUAUCCUACCCCCCCCAAUCCAAGUUCUCUUGUUAAGAAGUAUAAAUGUGAAUUGGGUGAUCAUCUGGUAAUGUCUGUCACUACUUAAAACUCUUAUUGGAAGGAUGCCAUACUAUUUAGUGUGCUGCAACCUUCAAACAACUCAUAUUUAUAAAAUGCCUACUGUGAGCUUGGAGAUACAGAUCAAUGAGCACCAUUACUCUGUUGCUAUAAGAAGCUUGCCAUCCAGAAGACAGGAUCUGUGGGCAAGCAAGUAAUUGCAACAUACUAUGACAGAGGUACCCUGUGGGAGCUUUGGUGUGUCAAUGGUUGGGACAAUAUUCACAACUCUAGCUCUUACAGAAGGAAGAGGGAAUCUCAACAGCUAGUAGUAAUAGUAACAAAUGAUUUGCACUGCAUUAUAACUACAUGACAUAUUUUUCUAAAUUAUAUAGAAAUCAUUAAUAUAUAUUAGAUAGAUAUAUACAAAUACUACUCACUUCAGCUUGGUUUUUUAUUCCAUUUACAUCCAAGUAAUGUGAGACAAGAAUUGAGUUAAAUAACUUGCCCAAUAUCAACUACUUAGAAAAUUGCAGAGCUGGAGCUAGAGUCAGUGGCACAUGCCUGUAAUCCCAGCAGGUCAGGAGGCUAAGGCAGGAGGAUCAGAAGUUCAAAGUCAGCCCCAGCAAUUUAGUGAGGCUUUAAGCAGCAGGCAGACCCUGUCUCAAAAUUUAAAAACAAAAAGGGCUGGGGAUGUGGCUCAGUGGUUAAGUGUCUCUAGGUUCAAUUACAGGUACCAAAAAAAAAAGAAAGAAACAGAACUAGGAUUGGAACCCAGUCAGUAUGCUAUAUGCUAUCAGUAUUCUCUUAAUUAGCAACAUAUAUUUGUACUAAGGACGCACCAUUUGUAUUGGUUUUAUUGUUUGUCCAAAACUUUCUUUGCUUAUUAAUAAUAUAGAACCCUCUGAUCCUUUCAGCCUUCAUUGUAUUUUAUAAGGUGGUCUUGCCCAGGAUUGUCAGGUGUUGGUUUGGUCACCUAAUUGGGACAAAGAAGAAAACCAUGCUAGAAUGUGUUCAGAUAGGAAAUGACAAGUCGCAGUUCACCAAAUGUUCACAUUUCUUGUGGCUAUGAAAUGAAGAGCUUUGUCAUUCUUUAGCAGAUAUACCCACUUUACACCUAAUUUUAACUAUAAUUCUGUCAUCACUCAUAUGAAUAAUCAUAUUUCCAGAGAUGCUCUCUGCUUGCCUUUCCUGGCCAGUCUUGGCUAUAACAGCUUCCAUAUCUUGGCUCAAAUCUCAAGUUUUGUGACCCUCCUUUCAAUAAUCACAGCACAGAAAGACUUUCAGAAUGGCCCCCAAUGUCCUACCGCCUUGUGAAAUAUCCUCCUGGGUCUGUGUGGCAUACCUGUGAUUGUGUUAGAUGGAUGGAACUCCUCUCAUAAUUAGCUUUUAUUAUUUAGCACAGUCAACUUGAAGAAAGGAGAUUUUGUUCAUUGGGCCUGACCUACUCAAGUGAGACCUUAAAAACAAGGAUCUUCCUGAGGACAGAGAUUUUUAACCUCUGUUCAGUGUGGUAUGAUGUUCAAAUAACUCAUGCUUAUAAAACGUGAGUUUCAACAGAUAGGAGAUUCUCCAUUGGUGUCUUUAAAAAGUAGAGACCACAUGGCCAGGAGCCGUGGGUGACCUCUAGUUGCAGAGAAUGGCCACACACUGACGACCACCAAAACUAAAUUUAAAAAAAAAUAGGAAUCUUAGUGUUAUAACUGCAAGAAUUAAAUUCUGCUACAACUGCAUGAGCUUACAAGAGGACCCUGAGGUCCAGAAGAGAGUGAAGUGUUUUAUUUUUGUUAUCUUUUGCUGUGUGCUAGAAAGGCUUACCAGUGUCCUGACAUAGUCCACACCUUCUAACAUCCCCUACGAUGACUACCGAGAAGAUUAAAAGCAAACACCAUGUGGUGCAUUGAUUAGCAGCCAUGGUUCUAUGGAACAAGGACAAUGUCCAAGGUGAAGGAAAUUUUAAAAAAAUCCAAAGUUAGUAGACCGUGCACUAAAGAUUUUCCACAUAGUGAGAAACACAAUUUUAUGCUCCUUGUCUUGCUGGGUGAAGUACAGAUCCCGUGGAGAAGGUUGAGGAGGCAAAUACUUUUUCUGUUGGUUUCUGCUUCAAGGAGUUCUCUGGCAAUUUAUUUUAAUCUUCAUUAACAUAUGAAGAUUGAGUUCAGGGUUAAAACAUAGUAGAUGUCAUUUAACCAGAAAACACAGUGGUUUCACAUGGGGAGAGAAAGGCUAAAGCCUUAGUGGUCCUGUGCUUUUUGGUAACUAUUUGCAAAGUUGGAAUAAGUCACCUGCCUGUGAUAAAAUAUGACCCUCACUCACUCUGGUAAAUUGCUUGUGCCCACUCACAUUUAGAGGUCAUUAAUCUUGUUUCCUUUUAUGGAUGGACAUUCCGCACAUUCCUCACAAUUGAUUCAGCUUAUCCUUUAGAGUUGUAUAAAAAAUUCAAAAGUGCAGUUGGAGAAAAAUGUCACAUCACAAGGGUACAAGCUGAAAAUUGUUAUCUUUAUCUCGAAUAGAGAGAAAUAGGCAUUUGCAAAAAAGGGGCUGUGGAAAGGAUCAGAGGAACAAGACAUAUGUAGCCAAUAAAUAAUUAUAAUCUCAUAACUUAAAAGGGACUUCUAAGACCUACACAACAUAGGAGUUCCCCUUUCCAUAUGGAUAAGGAAACAGUCCAACAGGACACGACUGAAAACAUCCUAGAUAAAGGGGGACUAACUGUCCUAUUUUAUGAUCUUUUAUUCUUUUAUGAUCCUGUUACCACCUAAGAGAGCUCCUCAGUUUGAAGAUAGCUAUUUUGCAAUUGUCAGAGUAUGUUAUAGAUUUUUCUGAUUUUAAUUUCUUCCUUAUAUCCCUUCUCCCCUUUCCUCUAGAUAUAAUUUACUGAAUGUUAGUAGGCACUUAGCACAUUUUUCUAGAGUGUCAAUUCAAUGAAAUCCUGGCUCCAGUGAUUAGAAUUGGUGAUACCACCAGCUUAUCACCCAUGCGACUGCAAGAAUAACUAAAAUACAGGUUCUGUAUACAUGGCCAUGAUAGUAAUACUCUGUAUGUUCUUUCUUUUUGAAUCCUUCUCCUCAUCCCAAUACAGUUUUGACAAUGAUUGUUUUUCCCCAAAUACCUAAUGGAGCAUCCAAAUUAAACAUGUUGAAACAUCUGGUCAGCUAGAAGGAAAAUUGCUUAUACCUAUAAUAUAGGCCAUAGAGUCGGGGUGCACUCCAGCCUUGUAGCCUUCCUCAUCUUCCAUUGCAAUUGAGAACAUAAAGCCACCACACAGUCAAUGAUGAACCCAACCAGAGUAUGUUAAUUAUAACCAAAGCAACAUUCCACAGAUGUUCAAUCAGGAGGAAGAGAGUCUAUGCUGGAGAGCAAACACAAGGGGAUUUAAAAUCACAUCAUAAUCAAACGAAUAAAUAUUUGAUUUUCUGUGAUGUGCAGGGCCUGAAAAUAAAUGUGCUAUAUUUGUUAGAAUUUCCCUCUCAAGAUGAUCACCCCUUGUCACUGUAGAGCCAGGGCAAUGCUUGAUUACUCUGAUUUCCUUUUGAAAUGGUUUGUAUGUCAAUCAAAAUGUUGACAAAUAAUUAUUCAGUCAGUUUUUGCUUUCUUUUGAAUUUGUCUAUAAUUGUUGCCACUCAUGUUUGAAAUUGAUAUAAGCUAUUGGCUGAAUAUAUUUAUAUGUCAGAGCUUGGAGGACGAAAGGUGUGUCUGCUAAUUCUUUCAACUUCAAGCGAUGUAGAACUAUGCUUGUAAAUUGCAUUGUCUCAUAGUUUACAAAAGUGCAUGAAUUUCUAAACAGUUUUUUAAAAGAUCCCCCACAUAGUCUCAGAGUUUCUACUUCCCAAAAUGUGUCUGUCAUAUUCCUAGGAGAUGUUACUUCUUAUUUACAUACUUAAAUUUUCAUUUAAAAUAAUAAAUUAUGAUAAUUAGUGCAAACAAAAAGGUGUCAUUAUAACCUAAUGGUUUUAAAUGCUUCAAAAUGAAUUCUUUGGGACAUAUUUUUGCACGGUUGACUUCAUCUUGUAGGGGUAGAAGAGGCCAAGGUGUCCAUUUCUAUUUGAAUAUAUUGAUGUGCUUGCGGGACACACUAAAGCUCCAAGUGGAGGAAGAAGAGAUGAUUUUGUUCUGUGAAUUUUGAUAUGGUAGAGCUGAUAUGCUGAACAGUAGAGCGCUGUUAGAAUCUGUAACCUAAGUAGGGAAAAAUGGAAUUUAUCAGUUGGAAGGAUGAUGAAGAGCCCUGGGAAGUAGUGAAUCCAGAUCUCCAAGAAGAUGUGACUAAUUGUUCUGUGAGGUGUGGUGCACUUAUGCUUUUCACUACUUAUGAGUUUUUCAGUCAGUUCUCAGUCUCUUAAUCUCUUAAUAGUACUCUGUUGAACUCUAUCUAUUGGGGAAAAUGGAAUAAAAUGAGAAUUAUGGUCCAGGGAAGGCACAGUGUAAGGGGCCACGGUAAGUUGCCACUUGAUCCCCCAGCCAGGUUUUCAUAUUGAUCUCAUAUUUGUAUCAGCACAGGAAAAACUGAUGGAAAAUUUUAAAAAUAAUUAUUAUGAGAAUUUUACUAUUUCAAAGAUAAAUUAUUACAAUUGGUUUUCUGGGAGAAUAUGGAAAUAUAAUAUUAUCUUUCUUCCAAAAGUUUGUCAUGUAUGUAUGUAUUGUGUUUUCUGGUAAGGAUAGUAAAUAUGAUAUAAAGUAAAUAUAAUGCAAUGAAAAUGGAUAGAAUAUGGGUUUAGUAUUAUAGAUAUAUUUUCAAAAGAAAAAUUAUAGAUAUAUUUUCAAAAGAAAAAUAAUUAGUAUUCCACAGCUUUGCUGUGGAAUAUUUCAGGGUUCUGGGAGUGCCCUGAAAUCACUAAGUUAUAAAGGACCAAGAGAAAGGUAUCCUUUUUUUUCGCCCUUCAAAACUUCUGAUUUUAAACAAAUAAGAAUGAGAAGAACAGGGAAAAGUAAAAUUGUAAGUCUAAGCUUUAUCUUCUUAUUUGAGACUAUGCCUUUUAAAUAAUUACUUCAAUUUGCUAUUUAAUUAAACAAUACAAUGAUUCAUAUUUAAUGCAAUGCUUAAUUAAAUGGUUAUUGAUUCGCCAUAGUUAUAGGCAAGCACUCCACCACUGAGAUGCAUUCCCAGCCCAACUUGUCAUAGCUGUAAUUAGUGACAUGUGUUGAAUAUUCUUGCACAGCAUCACAGAGGGAGUACCAUACAAAGAUAGUGCAGGAUGCCUCCAGUGGGCACAUACUAUAUCAUACAGCCAUGUUCUGUGUUCUUGUAUUUGCCAUGUUGCCGAACACAGGGUUACAUACCUGGGUUCUACAAUGUCUGGUCUGUUGAAUUGAAAUUGUUAAAACAAAAAUAUUUUUUAACUAUUUAUUUCAUCAACAUCUUGUAGAGAAAAAGAACAUCUGAUCAGAAGUCUCAAUUUGUGGUUGAGAAUUCUAUAGUAACUCAAUAAAGCAAUGCAUUAUCUCUUUUGUUAUAAUUUUGUAUACUUCUUACUUCUGCCGACCAGGGUAACCACACAGCAUUGUUAAUGAAGAGAUGGAGAGAGCCCAUGUUGGAGAGCACAUUUAACAGACAGUGAGACAGAAAUUUGGUGGGUAAGAUGCUGUGCUGGGCAGCAGGAACUACAUUGGUAAUUCAGCCAGAUUUGAGUUCAGUUCAGUAGGAGCUGCAUUUUUGAGUCUGCUGUGUGUUUCUAGUCUGAUAUGUACAAGGUCAGGCAGGGGAUUAUAAUGUAGUCUUUCCUCUUGACAAGAUUACCAUCUUGAUGGAGAAAUCAAGAAAAUAGGGAUUAGGGGGAUAGAAAUAAAGCUAGUGACAUGAAAACUGUGCUUUAGAAUUCAAAUGGGUGAUUACUUGGUAUGCUGUAGGGAUGAAAGAAGGCUCCGUGGAGGAAAUCAGAUUGAGGCACAUUCCUGGAACUUGAUGCUGCACGGGAUAAGAAAGGGCAAGGGAGGUAGUGCAGCUAUUGGGAGCAAAGCCAAGAAGCUGCAGUGCAAAGUGAUCAAGUUAUCAGACUUAAUCACCUCAUCACAGAGGCUUCUCUUAAGUGUUCAGUGACAAAAUGACUUGAUAAUGAUGGUCUUUGCUCCCCCUAGCAGGAGGCAGUCUCUGUUUGGAGAGCAGAGAUAUUGAACUCAUAGGUUCUAUCUGAGCAGUUUGUCCUGAGCACAGGUGCAGUUGUUGAGUACAGACUCUGGCUGUGUUCAGGAACCAAAAACCACAGAGGAGUAGAAGACAGGUAGGAUGUGGUAGACUAGAUACUGUCCUCACUAGAGCUUAGGCAGAAUAGAUCUGAUAAUGCUAACAUGGGAGCUAUGGGAUUCUCUUGACCCUAUCAGCUGUCCCCUAUGGGGACACCAGCAGUUCAAUAUUUUGUUUUGAUUUUUUAACAAGAGCAAAAUACAGUAGCAUCUCAGAUACUAGAUAUUUUCAUUUUACCAAGAGUUGACAUCAAUAAGUUUUUUUCUUAUUUUCUUUAUAGUUUCAUCAACCUGUCAGAAUCACUUGUUUUGAUUGUUGCUGGUUUUUUGUUUGUUUGUUUGUUUUUCUUUGUCUUUAAAAUAGGAGGUAAUGUCUCAUGGUGGUAAAAAUCAUGGGUUUUGUGCUAGACCCUUCUGAGUGUGAAUCUGGCUUCUCUUUCCUAACGAUUGUAUUACUUUUGCAAAGAGCCUAACUAAUAUGAUGCUCAAAAUUUAAAACUCUUAAAUAAAGAUAAUAACAAUGUAUGCUUAUUAAAGAAACUAGAUUCACCACAUAAUAGUAAUUAGGACCUAGAUAGGCCUGAGAACUAGUCUCUGGUUUGAAUUUCUGUUCUGCCUACUAAAUAGAUGACAUAGGAAAUUUAUUUAACCUCCUUGUCUCAGUUCAGUCAUCCGAAAAAAUAGAAGAAAUAAUGGUUACAACUUCAUAUGAUAGUCUUAAGGGCUGAAGGAAUUAAUAUUUUAUUAAUAUUAUGCACAGAAUCAAGUAUUUAAAAAUAGCUAUUACUACUUGAAGGACUGUUUUGUGAAGGCAGAGGAUAAUAUUAGUAUAGUGUUUGGCAAACAGGAAUAUUUAAUGAGCUACAGUAUUUGAGCUUAUCAGAAAGCUCAAAUGUUUUCUGAGUCCACAGUCUCAGGAAUUUAUUAGCAAAUAAUUAAAAAUUAAGGUACUCAAAAAACUGAAUUGACUACACUGAUUUUAAUCUAAUUAUAUCAUAGUAUUUUUACUUCUAUAAUCCUAAGAUGCUUUAAGGAAACAGAACACAUAGAGAAUUCACAAUCAAAACAAAGGCUUCUACAAAGGACAAGCUAUUAUCUCAUUUUACAGGCCCAAAUGACACAGACAACAAAACAAAGCAGAAACCUAAGACUUAAGUAGACUACAAAAAGUACAAAGCUAAUUGUACGGGAAUUUAUGGGACCAACCCAGGAUUUGAAAGCACUCUGAGGAAACAUAGGCCUGAACUCUGGUGACCCCAAAGCAGAAAUAGUUGUAGGGACCAGGGUAGCUUUGAAUGUGGACCUACCCUUUCUAUGUUUGCUGUUUUUGCCUCAUACAACAACUUCUUUAGCUUUCUGAUGAGAAAAUCAGGGCUUAGAAAUGGGAAAUGUUAGCUGGGCGAUCCCAGCAACUCGGGAGGUUGAGACAGAUGAAUGGCAGGUUUGAGAACAGCUGUGGCAAUUUAGUAAGACCAUGCCUCAAAAUGAAAUUAAAAGGGCUGGGGAUAUAGUUCAGUGGAUUCAAUUCUCCAUACUGGAAGGAAAAAAAAAAGAAGAAGAAGAAGAGUUUAGAAUUAGGAAGUGUUAUUGCCAAGUUCAUAUCAUUUAUCUGCAGUUCAGAUCUGUUAAAUCCAGGCCUCAAUCCUCUAGGUACCUCUUCCUUCCCCCUGAGUCAUGCUGUGCCUCCCAUCAAUCUAGGUCUUCCAGAGUUUAUUUCAGAAUGCUCUCCUAUUGCUUGGGGUUGGUCAAGAGUUCUAUAAAGUCAUUCUGUUACAAUGUCUGUGACCCAUUCCCUACAAAAGUAAUAUGAGAAUUGAUUUGUAACUUCUCAGGCAGAAGUUUGUUCUGCCUAUGCAUUUAAUGUUCUAGAAUUCAAAGUUACUCUAGAUCUCUGUAGAUAGUAACUACAUUAUAACCUCCUCCAGUUUGUGGAGAUGAGGGGAAAUGAGAGGAUUAGAGUAUAUCCCAUUAUUACAGGCUUUUGUUUGAUUUAAAAAAAAAAACAAUAGGAUAGAGUUAGCCAUGGACUCUCAUACAGAGUAUAGAAGUAUUUUCUAAUAAUAUCUAAAAGUAAAAAAAAUAUUUAAAAGUUAAUGAAUAAAGCAUUAGGGUAUGUAUUAGGGUUCUCCAGAAAAACAAAACCAAUACAUUUUUUGCAUCUAUCAACUGAGAGAUUUAUUUCCAAUACUUGACUCAUGGUCUUGUGGAGACUUGUAAGUCCAGAACUUCAGGGUUAAUAGCAGUCUGAAGACCCAAGGAAAAGUUGCAGUGCUGUUCUAAAGACCAGUGAAGGCCAUUUGCUAGAAAUGGUAGCUCCCAUCUUCCUCAGAGGAGGUCAGUCUUUUUUGUUGAGGUCUUCCAUUGAUGGAGUGAGACCCAUAUGCAAUAUUGAGGGUAGUCUGCUUUACUCAGAGUCAAUUGAUUCAAAUAUUAAUCUCAUAUGCAAAAAUACCUCCAUGGAAAUACGUAGAAUUCUAUUUGACUUUGGCCUAGUCAAGUUGACACAUAAAAUGAAUCAUCACAGGUCUAUCCCUUGUCAGAUGAGCACUCAGAACCCUUUCCUGCUAUGUUAUAAAUCUUAAAUGUCCCCCUAAGGGCAUGUGUUAAAGGCAUAGUACCAAUCUGGCAGGUACCGUUGGGAGGGUGGAAACUCUAGAAGGAGGGGCCUAGUGGGAUGUGCCCAUGGGAACAUGCCCUUAAGAAGGACAGCAAAAACCCACCCUUAUUUCUCACUUCUCCUAUUUAGCAUCCCGGCCAUGAGGGGAGUAGCUCUGAUCCACUAUGUGCUCCCCAACAUGAUGUGCUACUUCACCUCGGGUCCAAGAGCAAUGGUGCCAACUGAUCAUGGACUGAAACCUCUGAGACCAUGAGACAAAAUAAACCUUUCCUCUUGAUAAGUUGGUUAUUUAUUCAUUACAGUAACAAAGCUGCUGAACAUGUCUCCUUAAACCCUGCUUAGACUACAAAUAGAGACAAUAAGAAGGCCAUACCUCUGCCUAGCAUGAUGUGACUCUCCUGCAUACAACCCAAACCAGACAGACUCACCCCCCAAAUGAUGUGUAGUCCUGGAAAGUCUUUGUGAUGUUUACUCUUCUCCUUGAUAACCUUUCACUUAAAUAUAAUGAUGUAAAUAUUAACAGUGUUUAUACUAUUAUAUAAAGUUAGCACAUCAUCUUACGUUACGUGAGGAAGGAAUAGGAUAGGUUUAGAUGUGAGGUGUCCCCUAAAAGCUUACAUGUGAGACAAUUCAAGAAGUUUCAGAGGAGAAAUGAGUGGAUUGUGAGAGCCUUAACCCAACCAGGGAAUUAAUCCCUUGAUAGGGAUUAACUAUAUGGUAACUGAAGACUGACAGGGUGUGGCUGGAGGAAGUGGGGCAUUGGAGGUGUGGCUUUGGGGUAUAUGUUUUGUAUCUGGCAAGUGGAGUCUCUCUCUGCUGCCUGAUCAUGCUGUGAGCUACUCACCUUUGCCGCACUCUUCCACCAUGAUGUCCUGCCUCACUUUGAGCCCUUAGGAAUGGAGAUGAGCACUUAUGGACUAAGACUUCUGAAACUGUGAGCCCCUGAAUAAACCUUUCCCUUUCUACAAUUGUGCUUCUCAGGUCAUUUAGUCACAGCAGUAAAAAAAAUCUGACUACUACAUUAGGGAAUAAAAGAUAUUGAAGAUAUUGCACACUCAAACAUAUAACGAGAAAGAAAUAUUCAAGACAAUAACUGUACUCAUUUCUAUAUUGGUUACAUAUAUAACUGAUAUUUCUAACUACCUUCUUCUGUUAUCCAUUAAGUAUGUUUCUUAUCCUCAGCAAGCUCCUCAAAUGGUCAUAUUUUUUUUUGCCAGGUUAGGUGACACAGACUUUAAAUCUUUGAAGGGUCUAGGCCAUUAGUACUCCUGCCUGAAUCGAUUGUUAUAACUUUCACUGGAUUUCAUCAUAGGACUUGGUAAUACUAAGUGAUGUCUUUUUUUUUUUUUUUUGAGAGAGAGAGAGAGAGAGAGAAUUUUUUUAAUAUUUAUUUUUUAGUUCUUGGAGGACACAACAUCUUUGUUUGUAUGUGGUGCUGAGGAUCGAACCCGGGCCGCACGCAUGCCAGGCGAGCGCGCUACGGCUUGAGCCACAUCCCCAGCCCCCCAAGUGAUGUCUUGAGGAUCCUCUGUAUUUCGGACAUGUUCCUCGUUAUCCUGGUUGUAGAGUAGUGGUUUGAUUUUUCUUUGGUGGUCAGAAUCAGUCACCUCAGCCAGCAUAGUCCCUCUCUUUUCUGCCUGUUGAUUCAGAGACAAAAGGAUCUAAAGUCAUCAGGUGGCACUUUUAACUUCUGAUUCAAUGGAAACAUCAUUGUGUCUCCUGUUAGAAGCAUUCCUUUCUUUGGAAAUGAAACUUCUAGUCAGCAGAACAUAAGGAAGAAAAAGCAAAAAAAAAAAAAAAUGUCAUUUUUGGGUCACUGGUGCCACUUCCAUUUCCACCCCUUGAUUCUGGGACCUGUGUAACCUGGCUGUGGGAAAAACAGCCCCAUGUUCAUGUUUUAGAUGCUAAUUUAGAGAAUCUAAAGUCUUUUGAGUGAAUUUUUUUUCAACCCUGCAAGGCAUUGUUACCUACCAAACACCGUAACUGAGUCUUCCCAAGGUCAUUUUUCUGUUCUAUCAAUCCAGCUGCUUCACGAUGGUUGGGAACAUGGUAAGACCAGUCCAUUCCAUUGGGCCCAUUGCCAAACUUUGGUUUCCAUGAAGGAAGUAAGUUUCUUAAUCAGAGACAAUGCUGUGUGGAUGACAGUGAACAGGCAUUCUGUAAGUCCACAGGUGGUGGAUUUGGGCAGAAGCAUUAUAGGCAGGGAGGGUGAAUCUGUAUCCAGAAUAAUCAUCUGUUUCCCUGAGAAUAAUAUACUUUACUGCCUCUUGCAUGUCAGAAGUGCUACAAUUUAAUCAGCCUGCCACCAGGUGACAGGCUAAGCCCCCUGGAAAGUGGUGUCCUAUUGUGAUCUCUGCUGCUGGAAGAUUGUGUCAACCAUGGCAAUAGGCAGGCUGGCCUUGGUGAGUAGACAUCCAUGUUUCUGAGCCUAUGCAUAAGCUCCAUUCCUGGAACCAUGACCACUUUGUACAUGGAUACAUUGGGUAAUGAUAGGGAUGUCUAGGGGAAGAGGCUGACUGGCAUCCACAGAAGGAAUCAUCCUAUCUAGUUAUUAAUUUACUCCUUUUCCAAGUUCAUCCUUUGGUGAGCAUUCACAUGGGACACAAUAUCUCAUAUUUUGCCUGUUCCAAGAGAUCUGUCUCAUAGCUCAUCCCAGACAUCCUUGUCACUAAUUACCUAAUCAUGUUCAGUACAAAUCCCUGACUCUCCAGCCAAAUUAUUGGUCAAUCUCUUUCCAAGUAAAGCAAAUAACCAGGUGAAAUAUUCACAGUAUGUGUGCUUAAAGGAUUUCCUUUCACCACUAUCCUUUAAGAAUGUUUCAGAAAAGGGCCUUAAUUCUAUGCUGUCUACUUUAUGUACCUGAAUAUCAUGCAGAGCUAUCUGUAAAUCAGUCUCAAGUCUUCCCUUUUUCUGUCAACAGAUAGUUGGGAACUUUGAGACCAGAGGUACUGAUUUUGAGAGAUAAGGUAAAAUAGCAGGAGUGGGGACUAUUGAUAUUAUUUUAGACACUUCUAGGUAUAAUUUACUUGUGCUUUCAGGAUGAGCCUGAUAAUGCAUAUACCACUGCUGUUUGGUGAUGGAGUGUCUCUGGGCACAUCAAACUUUAUGGCUUUUUACAUCAGAUAAAUACCCAGUUCAUGAUGGACAGGUUGCAUGGCAACUUGAUGGGCUAUUAUUAAGUAUCCAGUCUUUCCUAGGGCUUAUUGCCAGUCUAAAAGCUGUUUCUGAAAAGGAAAGUAUAUGUCAGCUGAGGAUGGCAGGGCUUUGGUUCACAUUCUAAGAUUCUAUGCUAUGAUCAGCCUAUUUGGGUCUGCCAAAGAUCACAAAUAAGCAUCUCUAUUUGCAGUUGCCACUUUGCUUACAUUGAAUCUGCUGAAUCAUGUGGCCCAAGGAGCAGAGCAACGUGCGUGGCAGCCUGCACCUAUUGCAGAGCUCUCUCUUAUUCAAGACUCCAAUCAAAACCUUGGCAUUUUGGGUCCCUCUGUAACUAGCCUAGAGUGGCACACCCAAAUUAUGAAUCUAUUACUCCCAAAUUCAAAGAGGCCCAAGAAGCAUAGAUUUAAAGUGGUAGUUCAGGGAAUUAGAAAGGGCUCUGACAGUCAUUUGGUUGGCUCAACCAUGGACAAACAAGUACAUUUGAUUUGUUCAAAAAGUGAUCCAUAGUAAAUGAACUUGAAAUACCAGACCUACUGUCUAACAUUUCAGAGGAAGCGAUUCAAAGGCAUGGGGAGAAUGGUAUGGUAGAGUGGAAUUGUCACUGAAGAUCUGCUUGCUAAUCUUGGGAUGAUUCAUACUACAGCUAUGAGAAAUACAAUUGUGCAUCCUGGAAGCAUCUUGGAAGAGCUCUGAGACUGCUCUUCUCUGAAGACCAGAAACUGGUCACUGCUGCCACUGACCUGAGAAAUUUAAAUACAAUGGAAGUAAUGAGUAUUGGAGUAGCAGGGACCAAGUGUACAGCACUCAGUUGCCCCAAGGUGGCAUAAUUACCAGCAUGAUGAGUAGACUCAAAGCAACAAUUAGAAUAGAUUGACUUGGGCAGAACUGUAGCAUCUGAUAUUCAAUCACUGAGUUUCUUUUUUUUUUUAUUGGUUGUUCAAAACACUAUAAAGCUAUUGACAUAUCAUAUUUCAUACAUUAGAUUCAAGUUGGUUAUGAACUCCCAAUUUUACCCCAAAUACAGAUUGCAGAAUCACAUCGGUUACACAUCCACAUUUUUACCUAAUGCCCUAUUAGUAACUGUUGUAUUCUGCUACAUUUCCUAUCCUCUACUAUCCCCCCUCCCUCCCCUCCCAUCUUCUCUCUCUACCCCAUCCACUGUAAUUCAUUUCUCUCCUUGUUUAUUUUCCCAUUCCCCUCACAACCUCUUAUAUGUAAUUUUGUAUAACAAUGAGGGACUCCCUCCAAUCACUGAGUUUCUAAAUGUUAGCAGCUGGGGAACCUACUAAAUUCUUUAUCUGUAUAAGUGAAAGAGUUCUAGGUCAAGUGAACAAAAGACUAACCUGAAGCACAAAACAGUGAGUCAUAACCCUCUGUUGAUUCCCAGAUUUGAGGCAGUAUACUCGUCCAAACUCCUUGAAUGAAGGGGAGGCUGGGUUCCCUUAGGGAAGAACCCUGCUCCACUAUUAGAAUAUAUACUGAUAAUCUUCCUUAUCCCUCUCCACUGGGAAUCAUAGUGUUUUAUCAGGGUGACUGUAUAUUUGGAAAAAGAAAAUAAUUAGAUCUUUAGAGGAUUGUCAGACACUGACUCUGAUCUGUCAUUAAGUCCAGGAGACCUAAAAUGUUACUGAUCCAUUAGACUAGACAGAGGGAGGGCCUAUGAAAGUCAGAUGCUCAAUGCAGUUUAGUUCAGUACCAUUUUGAAGCCAGUCCAGUGGAUCCCCAAACCUAUCUUGUGGUUAUUUCCUCAUUUCUAGAAUAUUUCAUUGUACAGACAUCCUCAGCAACUGGUAAGAGUUCCCAAAUGUAAAUAAGAUACUCUUCUUAAUUCUCAAAGACCCUAUACACUGAGGAAUGAGAUAGAUAUUUUUCCAUAUCUG